rnacentral:rRNA from 1 species
UACGUAGGGGGCUAGCGUUGUCCGGAAUCAUUGGGCGUAAAGAGCGCGCAGGCGGUCGAUCAAGUCGAGUGUGAAAGCCCCCGGCUCAACUGGGGAGGGUCACGCGAUACUGAUCGACUCGAAGGCAGGAGAGGGUAGUGGAAUUCCCGGUGUAGUGGUGAAAUGCGUAGAUAUCGGGAGGAACACCAGUGGCGAAGGCGACUACCUGGCCUGUUCUUGACGCUGAGGCGCGAAAGCUAGGGGAGCAAACGGG